rnacentral:rRNA from 1 species
GCGCAGCAGUCGAGAAUAGUCUACAAUGGACGAAGUCUGAUAGUGCGACGCCGUGUGUGCGAUUAAUUCCUUCGGGAUGUAAAGCACUUUCUAUGAGAUAAAGCUCUUUAGGUUAAUAGCUUAUUGAGACGGAUAUUAUUAUAGGAAUAAGCUCCGGCUAACUCCGUGCCAGCAGCCGCGGUAAUACGGAAGGAGCGAGCGUUGUCCGGAUUUACUAGGCGUAAAGGGCUAGUAGGCGACUAAUUAAGUUAUAUGUUAAAUCCCACGGCUCAACUGUGGUCCUGCAUGUAAUACUGGUUAGAUAGAGUACUGUAGAGGAAGGCAGAAUUCCUGGAGUAGCGGUGGAAUGCGCAGAUAUCAGGAAGAAUACCAAAAGCGAAGGCAGCCUUCUGGGCAGUUACUGACGCUGAAUAGCGAAGGUGUGGGUAGCGAACAGGAUUAGAUACCCGUGUAGU